ACCACCCAGCUGAGACAGGCUCUGUCUUCCGCACAUUCUCCCAUACCAGCGCCCACUUCUGUGGGGCAGCAGAUGACUAUGUUCAUACACCCUUUUAAUGGGGUGCCCCUGAAGGACUCACCUGCCACAACUGGACACAGUUGGCAAAGACAUCUCCAUGGACAGCCCAAACAAUAGCUCCAGAUUCUUGCUAUGUAGUUGAGUGUUUAAUGUUUAAUCUGUAGACUAUGCCAGAAUAGCAACUUUACAGAAAAACAAGUAUGACAGAGGUCUGAAGGACCAGAGGGGACCACUUAUUAGCUCAUCACAAACUUGAAACAGGCAAAAUGUACCUGUCAGAGCCUAAGUAGAACUGGAUUGCAUGAUGUAUGGCAGUGAUCUUCCAGAGCGCUCUCAAGUGUGUUUGACACGAGUGAACUGUGUUCGAGUUGAUUCUCCCUAUGGCAGUCCCAAAGCCUAAUUAUGAAAACACGAUAAGAUCAUUGCACAGUUAGACCAUUGCACCAUUGGCAUUCCUAAUAAACAGAUCAGCUUAGCCCAGCACGAUCCCUAGUGGGUUUGUCGGAAGCCCUUCUUGGGUUUCACAAAUACUAAACAUUUUCAAAGGAAUUAGUGAAUGGUAGGAGUGCAAA
rnacentral:lncRNA from 1 species